rnacentral:tRNA from 1 species
GGAGAGGUGGCCGAGUGGUCGAAGGCGCACGCCUGGAAAGUGUGUAUACGGCAACGUAUCGAGGGUUCGAAUCCCUCCCCCUCCGCCA